rnacentral:tRNA from 1 species
GGGGCUGUAGCUCAGCUGGGAGAGCACGUGCUUUGCAAGCAUGAGGUCGCGGGUCCGAGCCCCGUCAGCUCCACCA